UACGUAGGGUGCGAGCGUUAAUCGGAAUUACUGGGCGUAAAGUGUGCGCAGGCGGCCGAGCAAGUCGAGUGUGAAAGCCCCGAGCUUAACUUGGGAACUGCGCUCGAAACUACUUGGCUAGAGUGUGGCAGAGGGAGGUGGAAUACCACGUGUAGCGGUGAAAUGCGUAGAGAUGUGGAGGAACACCGAUGGCGAAGGCAGCCUCCUGGGCCAACACUGACGCUCACGCACGAAAGCGUGGGGAGCAAACAGG
rnacentral:rRNA from 1 species